rnacentral:sRNA from 1 species
GAUUCAAGCGUCAAAAGUCAUUCCACACGUUGUGCUUGCACAUAAGUGGGGACAUGACUUUAUGACGCGCCCCGACAUGAGGAAGUAGUGGGGCGGGGACCCCGCGGAUUCCGAAUGGCGGGUAGGAUUGUGGGAGCACGAAGUGCGGAACAAUCCGU